GAUGAAGAACGUAGCGAAAUGCGAUAAGUAAUGUGAAUUGCAGAAUUCAGUGAAUCAUCGAAUCUUUGAACGCACAUUGCGCCCCCUGGUAUACCGGGGGGCAUGCCUGUCCGAGCGUCAUUACAACCCUCAAGCUCAGCUUGGUGUUGGGCCCCGCCGCCCCGGCGGGCCCUAAAGUCAGUGGCGGUGCCGUCCGGCUCCGAGCGUAGUAAUUCUUCUCGCUCUGGAGGUCCGGUCGUGUGCUCGCCAGCAACCCCCAAUUUUUUUCAGGUUGACCUCGGAUCAGGUAGGGAUACCCGCUGAACUUAAGCAUAUCAAUAAGCGGAGGA
rnacentral:misc_RNA from 1 species